GUCUAUGGCUAUGCAACCCUAAACAAGCCCGAUCUCGGAAUAAGUCUGAUCUCAGAAGCUAAGCAGGGUCGAGCCUGGUUAGUACUGGGAUGGGAGACCACCUAGGAAGACCAGGUGCUGUAGGCG
rnacentral:rRNA from 1 species